rnacentral:misc_RNA from 1 species
ACAAAAAAAAAAAAGAAGAAAAGAAAGAACUCUAGCGUACUCUUAGAAUAGUUAAAAUGGAUCCCAAGGGUACACAGGAAACACAAAUACAACAAUAAAGAGAUCACAAGCAUAUUGUUACUGCAAAUUCCAGGCUCAAAGAAAGAAAGAAAUGAAAAUAUUGACAUAUGCGUAGAGCACAAAGAUGAACGUGAAGCACUAAGGCCAUAUCUUCUAAAUUUACCAUGCAUAGUCUUUCUCUCGGUUUCAAUUGUUCCAUACCCCCCAACACCAUACUAUUGCCACAAAUCCACGACACCACCAUCCGAAGUUUUAAAUAACAAGUAGAAAACAAUCCAGAAUCAGAAACAAGGUAUCAGAACCCGACUAAAAUGGUCCAAACAUACAUACUGAAGCAGCCCCCGUACAGUGAAUUUUCUUAAACAAAUAGCAAAAUGGCUAAAAUCAACAAAAAAACAAGGAUUAAACUAAAUAUGCAAGAUAUCAAAUCAAUAGACACCUAAAGGAACAUUUUAUUAAAUACUAAAGCGUGACACGCAUGUAAGAGUUGGCAGUCAACACCAAGAGGAGUGUUAUUAAUGAUUUUGAUACUUUUUCCCAUGAUUACUGUUAUUUUGAUUUUGAUUGUUCCUUCCUAAGCACAGUCAUCCUCUAGAUGGAAACAUGUUAAAAAGAUGAGCUCGAUCCAAAAAAUAAUCAACUUGAGAGCCUUGAAAAUCACCUCAAUUAUUAUUUUGAUUGAGACAAUUAUGCAUCUCAGUCUCAGACAUGUUGGGUUAAGCUUGAGGUGGUUAUCCCAACCAUAACAAUCAAGGAUGAUAACUGAUGCAUGACAAAAAAUAGUUGAUCCAUGUGAAAUAAUUUAAGGUGAUUGGUCCAUGAGUCAUCAAGGAUGAUAUAACCAUGUGGUACAUCAAGGCAGCAUAAGACACAACUCAUAAGUUGAGGUGUCUUAUAACUCUGAAUCUUAAACUGUUAAUUUUAAAGGGAUUUUUUAAGAAGUUUGAGGCAUUAGCUGAAGAGCGCAGAUCUGAUGUGCCUAAAGGACACCAAAGAUGAAAGUGCGCAUUGAAGUGGUUUAGGCAUGCCCCAUGAUGUGGCACAUCAAGAUCUCAAUUGAACAUUGAGAAACUCAAUUAAACAUUUAAAGAGCAUUUCCUCAUAAGAGAUCAGAGGAGGCUCAAAGUGACAUUCGGUUUAAUAUAUCCUUUAAGUGACACAAACCCCUUUCACAUAAGAAACUAGAGCCAGGAUUGUGGAAACAGACCAUAUGUAGUCAGUAAAUUAGUCCAUUUGAGUAAAAACAGAAAGAGCAGUUACAACUAAGGGGCCUCACAGAGAGAAGAAGGAAUGAAGAUCCAGGAAACUAAAGGGCAGCUUCUCACAGAAGAGUGACAAAGAAAUUUACAAAAGAACACAAAAUACAUUCACAUCCGUUUCUGAUAAGAAAGGGGGACUAAACAACUAUGUCUUUUAUUAUGUUUUAGUCAAUCACACUACAUUCCCCACAUAAGGAGUUAAUAUUGGCUUUAUUUUUUGGUCCAUCCAGCAGAACCUUGGAUGGAUUUGCAAUUAUGUCAGAAGAAAAUCAAUAUAAAUACUGUCUUAACUCUCAAGCAAGUUAGAGAAAAGGUUCCACUUCUGAGCCUGAGUAAUAGUACAAGAAUAUGAAUAUUCCAGCAAAUAUGAAAAACCCAGGAUUAGUGGCAAACCUGGAAAUCCAAAUCAACGUAUACAUUGCAAAAGCGGUAAACAUCUUCAGUGUUCUUGUCAUUUAUCUCAUUAACAAUUGCUUCUGCAGACGCUCUGAGUGGAUCAGGGAUUGCCUUCCCAUAAUCUGAUGAAGAGACCCAUACGCCAUCCUGAAAUAGUUCAGACAUAGAUUUCCACAUAGGAGAAGUAAGUGACAACUAAUUACCUAUCCCAGGAAAGGGUUAUGAGAUUAGUAUUCAGCAUAGAUAAAACAAAUUCAUAAAGGAAUUACACAAAUGAAAAAAACAAAUACCUCCAUGAAGUCUUCCAUUUGAAGUACCCGCUCCACAGCAAUAAGAUACAUUAGCUCAUCAUCCACUUCUUCUCCAAAUCUCUUUUUCCAUAUUGAUUGAUGCCACUUCAAAACCUUCCUGUCCUCUGGCUUCUGUAGGCUGCCUUGAAUUGUGCACUGCGGAGUCCGCAUUCCACACUGCUCCAACUGAACAUGAAGGCUGGACCUCUUGUCAACGGAGAACUGACCGUUGCGAUCACUCAAACACAAAACCGGCGUCCCAUCAUCGUCCACGGCGAACCGAACACCAACACCCAGAGGCCAACUCUCGCUGGUCAAAGUAGAGAGAGUGCCAACUGAAGACAACUCCAUGAUGGUUCUUGAAACUUCGGCAGGAAACGGCUUGUCGAUGGAGGAUCCCAGAUGGGCAGGCUCUGAAACAGUGGAAAGUGAGCAUUUUAAGGAGAAUUGGCGAAAUGGGUUUUGCUUAGGAGGAGCAAAUUGGACUUUGGCAAUGGGUUUUGGGAGAGUGAAUUGAGAAAGAGGAAAAUAUGAGGUCAGAGACUGGGUAUGGAGAUGCAUUGAGAGACGCAGAGGAAGAUUUUGGCGUCCAAUUUGAGUCUUCCUAAGCAAAA